rnacentral:rRNA from 1 species
UACAGAGGGUGCGGGCGUUGUUCGGAAUUAUUGGCGUAAAGGCGCGUAGGCGGUGCGGUAAGUCACCUGUGAAAUCUCCUGGCUCAACUGGGAGCUUGCAGGCGAAACUGCCGUGCUGGAGUGUGGGAGAGGUGCGUGGAAUUCCUGGUGUAGCGGUGAAAUGCGUAGAUAUCAGGAGGAACACCUGUGGCGAAAGCGGCGCACUGGACCACAACUGACGCUGAGGCGCGAAAGCUAGGGGAGCAAACAGG